GCUGGGGUGGUGGCUCAGUGGUAGUAUGCUUGUCUAGCAUGUGUGAGGCACUGGGUUUGAUUCUCAGGACCACAUAUAAAUAAAUAAAGGUCCAUUGACAACUAAAAACUAUUUUUUAAAAAACUUGUACCAAUAGCAAUCACCACUAUCAUCCCUCCCUCCAGCUCUAAAGGAAACACUGAUCUACUUUCUGUUCCUAUGUAUUUGUAUAUUCUGGAAAUUUAACUGAAAUUUGUGCUUCUUUCAUUUAGCAUAGGUUUGUCCAAGUUGUUAUAUCUAUCAGAACUUCACUCCUUUUAUUAUUGAAUUUACACUGUAUGGACAUACCAGAUUGUGUUUAGCCAUUCAUCAGUUGAUAGGCAUUUGGAUUGUUUUGUGCACAAUUUGAACUUGACUCAAGAUUUUUGCAUGCUUCCCCUUGCCAAAUCCUAUGUUUCUUAACCUCUCUUCAUAAAAGAGUGCUUGUUAGGGACAUAAGAUACACAAAGCCUAUGGAAUUGACUCUCUCAGGUUAUACAGGCCAAUUGAAACCUUUCCUUGGGUGAUGAGAAUCCUCCAAGUGUCUAGAUAGUCAGGAGCUCUGGAGGAUGCAGGAUCAACUGCCAACAGACAGCUUGGAGCACAGGAUUUUAACAGUUCCUAGUAAUAGAUAAUUUAAACUAGCAAAACAGUUUUUGUCUCUUAUAGUGUUUCUCCCCUGCCCCCAUACUGGGGAUUAAGCCCAGUGGUGCUUUACCACUGGCUACAUCCCCAGCCCUUUUUAUUUCUCAUUGUGGGACAGGGUCUUGAUGAAUUGCAGAAGCUGUCCUGAAACUUGCAGUCCUCCUGCCUCAGCCUCCCAAGUCACUGGGAUUACAAGCAAUUACAGGCCACCACACCCAGCUGUCUGUCAUGGUUUCUGACAGUCUCCCCAAACUUCCCUUGAGAAACACUGAAAACUCUUUAAUCUGGGGCGUACUGGCGUAUUA
rnacentral:lncRNA from 1 species